rnacentral:rRNA from 1 species
UACGGAGGGGGCUAGCGUUGUUCGGAAUUACUGGGCGUAAAGCGCACGUAGGCGGUCUUUAAGUCGGGGUGAAAUCCUGGAGCUCAACUCCAGAACUGCCUUCGAUACUGGAGACUUGAGUCCGGGAGAGGUGAGUGGAACUGCGAGUGUAGAGGUGAAAUUCGUAGAUAUUCGCAAGAACACCAGUGGCGAAGGCGGCUCACUGGCCCGGUACUGACGCUGA